AUUUUAUUUCUAUAAAACCGAAGUAUGUGGAAACUAGCUUCUUUUUUCCUACUGUUUCUCGUUGUUUCUUGCUUGACUGAUGAUUUUAAAAGCAAAUCCAAAACACUAUGCCAAAGAAUAUGCAUGGAAAUGGCGAUGGGAACGAGGACGUCAAACUGUUGCAGUUGUCGUCCCAUUUUACCUCAGCGCAAAUCUGUGAAAAGUUUUGAGAAUGAUAGAGACCAAAACCGUGAUAACUUGCUGAAAGGUUAUAUGGAGCAGUAUGAAGAUUUUUGAAUAGAAUUUCUCUUAGACCUAAGGUGUCUAGAAGAAGAAAGAAGAUAAUAUGAUUUGAUGAAAUCCAUUAAAUUAUUUCAUGUUUUUCACUGUAUAUUUCAUAAAAGGCAAGCAUGCUUAAUAAACAUACUGAUAAUAAAUAUUUUGAUGAAAA